AUUGAACGCUGGCGGCAUGCUUUACACAUGCAAGUCGAACGGCAGCGCGGACUUCGGCCUGGCGGCGAGUGGCGAACGGGUGAGUAAUACAUCGGAACGUGCCCAGUAGUGGGGGAUAGCUCGGCGAAAGCCGGAUUAAUACCGCAUACGACCUGAGGGUGAAAGCGGGGGAUCUUCGGACCUCGCGCUAUUGGAGCGGCCGAUGGCAGAUUAGCUAGUUGGUGGGGUAAAGGCCUACCAAGGCGACGAUCUGUAGCUGGUCUGAGAGGACGACCAGCCACACUGGGACUGAGACACGGCCCAGACUCCUACGGGAGGCAGCAGUGGGGAAUUUUGGACAAUGGGCGAAAGCCUGAUCCAGCAAUGCCGCGUGUGUGAUGAAGGCCUUCGGGUUGUAAAGCACUUUUGGCGGGAACGAAAAGGACUGUGCCAAUACCACGGUUCGAUGACGGUACCCACAGAAUAAGCACCGGCUAACUACGUG
rnacentral:rRNA from 1 species